rnacentral:lncRNA from 1 species
UCCAUCCAAGAUUGCAAUGCCGAUGACGAUGUCGAUACCAUAGGAGAAAAGAAGAAAGAUGCACAAAAGACACAAUCAAAUAAUGUGGAUUAGCUCAAAACUUAUAUUUACGAGAUAUGCAAGCUUCACUAUGAGAGAAAAAUAAAUAUAAGAGGAGAUCACACCUUCUCAAUUUACAUACAUCAAUCACUCUCUCAACAAAAAGUACAAACCCUCACGAAGCUCCCAAAAUACUCUCAAGAAGACCCUCUACCGCUUCUUG